AAGUCCGAAAGUUUCUCCCCCCGGUGUCGACGAACCACCGUCCGAUUUCUUUCUCAAGACCCUUUUGCAGGGGCAGGAUCGGAUGAGCCGCGGGCUGUUUCGGUACGAUGUGACGGCGUGCGAGACUUGGGUGAUUGCCGGGGAGUAUGGUUUCAUGGCGCAGCUGAACGAGGGCCGCCACCUCAAGAAGCGGCCCACGGAGUUCCGCGUCGAUCUCCUCCUCCGGCCCUUGGAUCCUACCAAGUUAAACUUCACCAAGGUCGGCCAGGAGGAGAUCCUGUUCCGCUUCGAGGCUGGGGAAGGUGACAAAGCUCGGUUCUUGGAGAGUGCUGCCGGUGGAUGAAGCCAACACACCCAGUGUUGCCGCGAUCAAUGUGAGUUCUCUUUCAAUGUGCUUUUGUUCUCUGCGCUUCAUGGUAGUUAUUUCUAUUUCUUUUCUCCUCUCUCUUACUGCUAUAUAUUGCCGAGGUUGCCACUUUGAGGCCGGUCAUGUGCUCGACUGCUUGCCUCAGAGAAUCGACCCUGAUAGUUUCUUGCUGGCUCUUCAUAUGGCAGCAGAAGCAGCAAGGCCCUUACUUCAAGCUCGGUUGAGAGAUCUCCCAUGGAGAGGGUUCCAAUUUGCUGAAGCUUCGUCUGUCCCAGAGCAGAGUGAAGGUCUCACAAUUGCUCAAUUAAAGACAAUUCCAUGGCAUUAUGCAUGUUAUGCUGAUUCCUAAUAAUUGGUUCUGAAGCAAAAAGAAAGUCUCUUUCUGAGGCAAGGUUUGAAGAAGUGAAAGCUUCAAUCUUUUGAGGCCACAGGUGUAAUGGAGUCCGAAGAGAAUAAAGGAACACCAUUGAAGUCCUCAUCUUCCAGGGGGGUGUUGCUUAGUCCUACAAUGAGCAAGACGGCCUGAGCUGUGCUUGCUGCAUUUGCCUAGUUGUUUCCGAGGGGAAUAAGAAGCAGAUACUCUGUCUCACCUCGACACUAUCCGAACUAUCUUCUCUUUGUAUUUGUUCUUCAGAAUACUUUGCCUAAAUAUGCAGGUUAUUUGAAUAAAGCAGAUUGUCGAUUUCAUUGUAGGAUUUUGUACCCAUUGAUAAUUUAAGCUUCCAUUA